UACGGAGGAUGCGAGCGUUAUCCGGAUUUAUUUGGUUUAAAGGGUGCGUAGGCGGCCGAGUAAGUCAGCGGUGAAAUUUUGCAGCUUAACUGUAACAGUGCCGUUGAUACUGCAUGGCUAGGAUUUGGUUGCUGUGGGUGGAAUGUGUGGUGUAGCGGUGAAAUGCUUAGAUAUCACACAGAAUAUCAAUUGCGAAGGCAGCUCACAAAUCCAAGAUUGACGCUGAGGCACGAAAGUGUGGGGACCAAACAGGA
rnacentral:rRNA from 1 species